AUUCUACUUAGUGCUUCUCCCCCACCCGAAACCCAGAUGGUGCCCUCCCCACCGCUCGCCGCCCUCUCCAAAACCGCGGCCGCCGCCACCCGCCGCGCCGCUACGGCCGCCGCAAGUGUCGCGGCGCACAGGCUCCUCCUCCCGGUCCGCUCUCUAUCCCCCAGCCCCUCCGUCCCAAGCUCUCUUAUCCCGCGUCGCCGCCUUAGCCACAUGUUGCAGGAGGAGGACAGGGCCUCCCGCGCCCCCCUCCCGCUGCAGGGCAGGAGCUUCGCGGUAGCAGUGGGUCCCGGAGGCGUGGUUGGUGAAGUCCCGGCUCUGGCGGUGGUGUCGUUCUACAGGUUCGCCGAUUUCCCCGACCACGCCGCCUUCCGGCGGCCGCUCAAGGAGCUCUGCGAGGAGCUGGUGAGUGCACAAAGAUCUCACUGGCGUCGGGAUAUUGUUGCCUGUGAUGUAUUGAAUGCACAAAUUGAAAUAUCGGGUGGCAUUAUCCUUGCACCAGAGGGAAUCAAUGGUAGUAUAUGUGGAACCCCGGUUGCUGUGGAGAAAGUCUUAAACUUUAUUCAAGAAGAUAACCGCUUAAAAGGUUUGAGAAUGAUCCAGUCACCUGUUACUACAGAGGAUGAGGCCAUACAUCAUGGACAUAACAAUCACUCUCCUGUUGGUGCUGGGGAAGAUGCGCCAUUCCGAUGGGAUCACGUCCGUGUUAAAUUGAAAAAGGAGAUAGUGACUUUUGGAGACCCAGGUGUGAUGCCAACUAAAAUGGUUGGAAAAUAUGUUAAGCCAAAAGACUGGAAUGCAUUGAUAAGCAAUCCAGACACCGUUGUCAUUGAUGUGCGUAACAUGUAUGAGAUACGCAUAGGAAAAUUUAAGAGAGCUGUUGAUCCAUGUACAAACUCAUUCAGAGAGUUUCCUACUUGGGUUGACGACCAAUUCCAAUUGGCUGAAUCUGACACCCAGGAGUCGGGGGUAAAUAAUGAUAGUGGAACUGACAGACCAGCAGAAGACCUCAAUGCCAGCAAAUCCAAACAGCUACCACGAGUUGCUAUGUACUGCACUGGUGGUAUCAGAUGUGAGAAGGCAUCAAGCUUUCUCCUCAGUAAGGGCUUUAAAGAGGUUUAUCAUUUGGAGGGUGGGAUAUUAAAAUAUCUGGAGGAAAUCUCAAAAGCUGAAAGUUUGUGGGAGGGUGAAUGCUUUGUGUUUGACAAGCGUGUUUCAGUGGAGCAUGGAUUGGCCCAAGGCACCCACAAACUUUGUUACGGAUGUAAGCAACCAGUUAGCGAUGAAGACAUGGAAUCUCCUGAAUGGGAGUAUGGUGUCUCUUGCCCAUAUUGCUUUGCGACGAAAUCUGAGGAGGAAAAGGAAAGGGCCAGGGCUCGGCAACGGCAGUUUGAGACAUUGGGAGUCAUUGGUGGGCCUGAUAAGGGCAGGACUCCAAAAAGGCUUGAAGCUCACCAUGCAGUGGAGGCCAAACAGUUGCCCAACUCAAUCUAACCUAAACUGCACGACUGAAAUUUUUCCGGUUAUCCACUAAGUGAGGUGGAUACCUUUGGAUUAGCAGUGCUUUUCCUUCGCUACUUUGGUCUGGCCUGCUUGGUUUCCCACAUAGACUUAAGCUACAGCACAACAUCAUGAUCUUUUCUGAUCUUACUGUUUGUUUGGAAGCCUGAGUGAUGUUUGAGCCAUCUAGUUGUAAAUUGUCACUGUACUGACUCAGCCGCAACAGUACGUUCAAUGCUGUGCGGAGCAAAAUAGAUGUUCCCUGAAACUCUGUUUUCAUCUGUUUGGAUAUCAUUGGGGACAAUACCGAAAAGACACACUCAAGCUUUGCUCGUAAGUAGUUGUCUUGUGGUUGCAAUGCCUCGUGAUAUCAUUCAGAUGAAACUGUGAUCUUCAAUUGAAAGGUAUAGUUUGUGACAUCGUGUGGUAAUAUUGGAGAUGGUGUAUUUACUGAAUCAGUCAGUUCCCUCGAUAACGAGAAUGGACGGCGGAGAUCACUUUGUGCAGGUACGCUGCGUGCUAUCUCCGUCGGUUUGGUUGCGUAGUGGCAGGUCCGCAGGUCCCCCGGAGAUGCCGUGCUUAAUCUAGAGAGCUUCAGGUAUGAAAAGGAACACCCCUGAAACCAGCAUCUUAUUUGCACGGCGAGAUGCCUCUGGAAGCGACGACAGGUUUCUGACUUCCAAUCUGAAAGAGGGCUCGUAAGUCGCAGCUGAACUCGAAUGUAAUGCACAUCGGUGCUGUCGUGCGUCUGACCGCCUGUGAGCUCUUCUGUUGCAACCCAACCACAUCGCGUCGUCUCGUCUGCAGCGAUGCAACCCACCCACAUCGCGUCCACCUUCCGUCUGUUCAAGUCCCUGCCGCCGCACCGCCGGCCGCAGGGCACCGACAUCGCAGCCGUCGCCGGCUGGACCGUUGCUGGCCUCGCCACGGCCAUCUGGCUCGUCCAGCCGUUCGAUUGGAUCAAGAAGACCUUCGAGGAGAAGCAGGCACCCGAGGAAUGAAACCAGAGCCUUAGGCACGAAACGGACUACUGCUUGUUUCCUCUGUGCGUAUCAUGUAUCCAUGCAGAGGCUGCAAGAGAUUUAAACAGAGUGACGAGUAACUCGAGUA